GGCGGGUGCAAAAAUUAAUGAGAACCCCCCGGAGUAAAGCGCACGCAGGCUGUUUUGUUAAGUCAGAUGUGAAAUCGCUUGGCUCAACGUGGGAACUGCAUCUGAUACUGGCAAGCCUGAGUCUCGUAGAGGCGGGUAGAAUUCCAGGUGUAGCGGUGAAAUGCGUAGAGAUCUGGAGGAAUACCGGUGGCGAAGGCGGCCCCCUGGACGAAGACUGACGCUCAGGUGCGAAAGCGUGGGGAGCAAACAGGAUUAGAUACCCUGGUACUCCACGCCGUAAACGAUGUCGACUUGGAGGUUGUGCCCUUGAGGCGUGGCUUCCGGAGCUAACGCGUUAAGUCGACCGCCUGGGGAGUACGGCCGCAAGGUUAAAACUCAAAUGAAUUGACGGGGGCCCGCACAAGCGGUGGAGCAUGUGGUUUAAUUCGAUGCAACGCGAAGAACCUUACCUGGUCUUGACAUCCACGGAAGUUUUCAGAGAUGAGAAUGUGCCUUCGGGAACCGUGAGACAGGUGCUGCAUGGCUGUCGUCAGCUCGUGUUGUGAAAUGUUGGGUUAAGUCCCGCAACGAGCGCAACCCUUAUCCUUUGUUGCCAGCGGUCCGGCCGGGAACUCAAAGGAGACUGCCAGUGAUAAACUGGAGGAAGGUGGGGAUGACGUCAAGUCAUCAUGGCCCUUACGACCAGGGCUACACACGUGCUACAAUGGCGCAUACAAAGAGAAGCGACCUCGCGAGAGCAAGCGGACCUCAUAAAGUGCGUCGUAGUCCGGAUUGGAGUCUGCAACUCGACUCCAUGAAGUCGGAAUCGCUAGUAAUCGUGGAUCAGAAUGCCACGGUGAAUACGUUCCCGGGCCUUGUACACACCGCCCGUCACACCAUGGGAGUGGGUUGCAAAAGAAGUAGGUAGCUUAACCUUCGGGAGGGCGCUACCACCUAUAAGUU
rnacentral:rRNA from 1 species